UGGGGAAUAUUGCACAAUGGGCGAAAGCCUGAUGCAGCAACGCCGCGUGAGUGAUGAAGGCCUUCGGGUUGUAAAGCUCUGUCUUUUGGGACGAUAAUGACGGUACCAAAGGAGGAAGCCACGGCUAACUACGUGCCAGCAGCCGCGGUAAUACGUAGGUGGCAAGCGUUGUCCGGAUUUACUGGGCGUAAAGGAUGCGUAGGCGGAUUUUUAAGUGAGAUGUGAAAUACCCGGGCUUAACUUGGGUGCUGCAUUUCAAACUGGGAAUCUAGAGUAGGCGGAGAGAAGAUGGAAUUCCUAGUGUAGCGGUGAAAUGCGUAGAGAUUAGGAAGAACACCAGUGGCGAAGGCGAUUCUCUGGACCGUAACUGACGCUGAGGCAUGAAAGCGUGAGUAGCAAACAGGAUUAGAUACCCUGGUAGUCCACGCCGUAAACGAUGAGUACUAGGUGUAGGAGGUAUCGACCCCUUCUGUGCCGCAGUUAACACAAUAAGUACUCCGCCUGGGAAGUACGAUCGCAAGAUUAAAACUCAAAUGAAUUGACGGGGUCAUAGCUGUUUUCCU
rnacentral:rRNA from 1 species